AUGGCUGCCAUUUCUAGUUAAGUAGAUCGACCUGGGUUAGGCUGUGGGAUCCAUCAUGCUAGCUCCUGAGAGUUCACAGCUUCUCUGCGGUAGUCCGGGUCCUCCCGCUUCUCUCAGACUGCCUCUCCCCACCUCUGCCUUUACUUUGAAGACCAGAUACCCAGCUGGCUCAGCCACAGAGUUCAUACUUCUUCAUGGCAACAAAGUAGCGGAUGAAAGUCUCUCCCAGAGCCUGCUUCAGACACUCAUCUUGCUCCAGGGCGGCAAGGGCAUCUUCCAUCUUCAAAGGGAUCUCGGAAGGUUCUGGUUGAUAGAGAUCCUGACUCUCAUCGGAACCAGCCGCAGCACCAUCACUGCUCUGAAGACCAUCCAAGCCUGCUGCCACAGUGGCCGCCAACACCAGGUAGAGAGAACAAUAUGAGAGUGCAUAAGAGACCCAGCAACCAACCAGACAGAAUGAAGGUGGACAGAUACCCUCUGCAUGUGGAGAAGGAUAAUCUUCACCAAGAGCCAGUUCCUAUCUGGCUUCAUCCAUUUCAUCCCCCCAUCUCUCCUAACCUAGCUUUGAGAAUGCUGAUCAUUCCAUUUUUUUAAAUUGUUUUUAUUUUAUGUGUAUGGGUAUUGUGCUUGCCUGUAUGUCUAUACAAUACUAUGAUGGUGCCUGGUGCCAAGAAAGGCCAUCAGAUCUUCUGGAACUGGAGUUACAAACAGCUAUAAGCUGUCAUGUGGAUGCUGGUAUUCAAACCCUGUAAAAUGUAACUUUGAUUCCCCUGACAUAAUUGUUUCUAGUGUCCAUACAAACUAAUCUAGGCCUAGAGUGUUUUCAUCCUCUGAGACUUACUGCUGAAUAAGCCAACCCUUUCUAGCUCUUUCUGAAUUCUGGCUGGCUGGUUCAACUCAGCUGUUCUGGCUCAAACUCCUCUCCAAGCUGAGAGUGGGCUUCAGCUAAGGACCUAGAAGACAUAGGCAGCCUGAUGAAUGUUGAGUGUGCAUUGAUGUUCCUGGUAAAGGUAUGUUAAUGGGAACUCUGAAAGCCAUAUUUAAGGAAUCUUCUCUUUCCUAGGGGUCAUGGAGUACCAAUAAAAGAUUUUGAG